rnacentral:lncRNA from 1 species
CAAACCCAAAUCAGUGGCGCUAUAUUUUCUACAUUGUGGCGUUGCUGUAUUUUAUUGGCAACUUACCGUUUUUAAUUUUGGGUAGCAGCAAAUUGCAACCGUGGAACGAGCCGGUGCAACGAAAUGCAAAACGUGUUGAACGAAACGCGGAGAUUGGCAGUGGUGCGUAAAAGUAACGUCAUAGAAAAGAUAUUGGAUACAAGCAUAAAUAUUCUAAUUAUAGCUGAUUUUUAAUUUGUAUUUUUUGCUUUUAAUGGUAUCUUUCAUUUAUAUUAUAUUUUUUGUAUUUUUUCAUUUCCUUUGCUUUAUUUUGGUUGACCACAAAUUACCGUUUUUACUAUCAAAAUUAAAUGCAAUAUUUUUAUUAUGAUACGUUUA